rnacentral:rRNA from 1 species
GAUGAACGCUGGCGGCGUGCCUAAUACAUGCAAGUCGAGCGAACAGACGAGGAGCUUGCUCCUCUGACGUUAGCGGCGGACGGGUGAGUAACACGUGGAUAACCUACCUAUAAGACUGGGAUAACUUCGGGAAACCGGAGCUAAUACCGGAUAAUAUAUUGAACCGCAUGGUUCAAUAGUGAAAGACGGUUUUGCUGUCACUUAUAGAUGGAUCCGCGCCGGAUUAGCUUGUUGGUAAGGUAACGGCUUACCAAGGCAACGAUGCGUAGCCGACCUGAGAGGGGGAUCGGCCAACCUGGAACUGAGACACGGUCCAAACUCCUACGGGAGGCAGCAGUAGGGAAUCUUCCGCAAUGGGCGAAAGCCUGACGGAGCAACGCCGCGUGAGUGAUGAAGGUCUUCGGAUCGUAAAACUCUGUUAUUAGGGAAGAACAAAUGUGUAAGUAACUAUGCACGUCUUGACGGUACCUAAUCAGAAAGCCACGGCUAACUACGUG